rnacentral:tRNA from 1 species
GCCUGGAUGGCUCAGUUGGUUAAGCGUCUGACUUUGGCUCAGAUCAUGAUCUCGCGGUUUGUGAGUUCGAGCCCCGCAUUGGGCU